ACAACUGUGAUGCCCUUAGUAAUGGCGAAUGAAACGGGCACAGCCCAGCGUCGAACCGCCGGCUCUCGUUGGUCGCGCGGAAUGUGACGUUUGGGAGCGUCGCUUGAUGAGUAGAACAACCAGUCCAAGUCCACCUUGACUGGGGCCAUGGUCCGUAGAGGGUGAUAGGCCCGUAAGACGGUUGAUCUGCUCUCAUGGCGUUUCCCUAGAGUCGAGUUGCUUGGGAGUGCAGCUCAAAGUGCGAGGUAAACUCCUCGUAAGGCUAAAUAUGACCCAGAGACCGAUAGCGAACAAGUACCGUGAGGGAAAGUUGAAAAGAACUUUGAAGAGAGAGUUCAAUAGUACGUGAAACUGUGUAGUGGUAAACGGAGGGGUUCCUCGAAGUCGUCUCGGAGGUUCAAGUUGACGUCGGCGCUGUGCAGGGGGUGGCUGAUCCGCAAGGACUCUGCCCUUUGCAUCGGCGUCGCCGGCGGCUGCACUUCUCCGGGACUUUGUGCGACGAACCGCUGGUGGUGCACCAUGGCCCUGGGUAGAGUUCUGGGCUUGCCCUGAAUCCCGGGUGCUUGGCUGCGCCGCCGGCGCGCAUUGAGUGGUCUCGUAUAGCGAGCAAUUUCCUAUUGCGGGCCGCUUCUCUGUCGCGAGUAGGUCGGCGGCCCCUCCGACCCGUCUUGAAACACGGACCAAGGAGUCUAACAUGUGUGCGAGUCAUUGGGCUUACUAAACCCAAGGGCGCAGUGAAAGCAAAGGGUACUUGUACCUGAGGGGUGAUCCUUAACCGGCGCAGCCCCCUCGCUUCGCAUCGACCUCGUAUCGUGCGGAGCAGAUAGAGCACACACGUUGGGACCCGAAAGAUGGUGAACUAUGCCUGGCCAGGUUGAAGUCAGGGGAAACCCUGGUGGAGGACCGUAGCGAUUCUGACGUGCAAAUCGAUCGUCGGAGCUGGGUAUAGGGGCGAAAGACUAAUCGAACCAUCUAG
rnacentral:rRNA from 1 species